AUUGAACGCUGGCGGCAGGCUUAACACAUGCAAGUCGAGCGGGGAAAGGUAGCUUGCUACCUGACCUAGCGGCGGACGGGUGAGUAAUGCUUAGGAAUCUGCCUAUUAGUGGGGGACAACAUCUCGAAAGGGAUGCUAAUACCGCAUACGUCCUACGGGAGAAAGCAGGGGACCUUCGGGCCUUGCGCUAAUAGAUGAGCCUAAGUCGGAUUAGCUAGUUGGUGGGGUAAAGGCCUACCAAGGCGACGAUCUGUAGCGGGUCUGAGAGGAUGAUCCGCCACACUGGGACUGAGACACGGCCCAGACUCCUACGGGAGGCGGCAGUGGGGAAUAUUGGACAAUGGGGGGAACCCUGAUCCAGCCAUGCCGCGUGUGUGAAGAAGGCCUUUUGGUUGUAAAGCACUUUAAGCGAGGAGGAGGCUACCGAGAUUAAUACUCUUGGAUAGUGGACGUUACUCGCAGAAUAAGCACCGGCUAACUCUGUG
rnacentral:rRNA from 1 species